rnacentral:rRNA from 1 species
CAGUCGCCGCGGUAAAACGUAGGUGGCAAGCGUUGUCCGGAAUUAUUGGGCGUAAAGGGCUCGCAGGCGGUUUCUUAAGUCUGAUGUGAAAGCCCCCGGCUCAACCGGGGAGGGUCAUUAGAAACUGGGAAACUUGAGUGCAGAAGAGGAGAGUGGAAUUCCACGUGUAGCGGUGAAAUGCGUAAAGAUGUGGAGGAACACCAGUGGCGAAGGCGACUCUCUGGUCUGUAACUGACGCUGAGGAGCGAAAGCGUGGGGAGCGAACAGGAUUAGAUACCCCCGUAGUCCCUGUCUCUUAUAA